rnacentral:piRNA from 1 species
UGAUGUUUUGGCUGGAUGGCUUGUC